UACGUAGGUGGCAAGCGUUAUCCGGAAUUAUUGGGCGUAAAGCGCGCGCAGGUGGUUUCUUAAGUCUGAUGUGAAAGCCCACGGCUCAACCGUGGAGGGUCAUUGGAAACUGGGAGACUUGAGUGCAGGAGAGGAAAGUGGAAUUCCACGUGUAGCGGUGAAAUGCGUAGAGAUGUGGAGGAACACCAGUGGCGAAGGCGACUUUCUGGCCUGCAACUGACACUGAGGCGCGAAAGCGUGGGGAGCAAACAGG
rnacentral:rRNA from 1 species